GAUGAAGAACGUAGCGAAAUGCGAUAAGUAGUGUGAAUUGCAGAAUUCAGUGAAUCAUCGAAUCUUUGAACGCACAUUGCGCCCCUUGGUAUCCCGAGGGGCAUGCCUGUUCGAGCGUCAUUUCACCACUCAAGCCUGGCUUGGUGUUGGGCGACGUCCCCUUUGGGGACGCGCCUCGAAACGCUCGGCGGCGUGGCACCGGCUUUAAGCGUAGCAGAAUCUUUCGCUUUGGAAGUCGGGGCCCCGUCUGCCGGAAGACCUACUCGCAAGGUUGACCUCGGAUCAGGCAGGGAUACCCGCUGAACUUAAGCAUAUCAAUUAAGCGGAGGA
rnacentral:misc_RNA from 1 species